CUCAUAUCGCUGGUCUCAAGGCCCGGCUACUUGGUUUGGUGGGGCAAGUGCGUCGUAUUUUGAGGUCUGACUGGGGCCUAAGCAGACGUGCUGUCCGCACCAUCUAUGAGGGUCUGUUUGUUGCAUGUGCAGCAUAUGGAUCGUCUGUAUGGUGCAAGGCGGUCACGACUGUGGUCGGCAGAAAGAAAGUGCUGGCUUGCCAGAGAGUGCUUCUGUUAGGUUGUUUGCCUGUGUGCCGCACUGUCUCUACGGAGGCAAUGCAGGUACUGUUAGGAGUAGCCCCUCUUGACUUGGAGAUCAGGCGUCGAGCCUUGAUGUACAGGAUCAAGAGGCGGCUGCCAUUGCUGCAGAAUGAUUGGCUAGCGGGUAGGGAUGUGGAGAGUUUAGGGCUUAGUGAAUGCAAGAGAUUGGUGAAAGAGUGUGUUUUGUCUGACUGGCAAGUCAGAUGGGACACUAGCGUGAAUGGGCGUGUCACUCAUCGGUUUAUACGGGAGGUUACAUUUGCCGGCAGCCGACCAGACUUUGGGUUCGGCCUGAGUCUUGGAUUCCUGUUGACUGGUCACGGUUCCCUCAAUGCAUUCUUGCAUUCGAGGAACCUUUAUGACAGUCCAGAAUGCCGUUGUGGCUCGGCUGCUGAGACAUGGGAGCAUGUUCUCUGUGAGUGCACAAGGUAUGCAGAUUUUCGAGAUCUGAGGGGGAUGGGUAUAAGUGAGGUUAGUGGCGGGUUUGACGUAAGUCAAUCACUCUCCACUAGUGAUAGGGUUAGAAGAAUGAGUGAGUUUGCUAGAGCUGCAUUUUCCAGGCGACGUUUGCAAUUGCAGGAAGGAAUUGUAUGAAUGAUGAUGGAUGGUAGAUGUGAGAAUGUGGGGGUACGAAUGUGGGGGUGUUUCUGAAUGGUAAUUUUUGUUGAACAUUGUGUUGUGUUGGGGCUACCAACCCUUAACUGUUUUGGAGUUUAAAUUGGAAGUGCCCUUCUGGUACGAGGCCUGACCGGAGGCUUUUAAUCUGGUACCACGGGUAACCAGGAGCCCACGGAACUUGUUCCGUCCUGGUUAGUUGGUGCGGCCCUUCGGGGAGUAUCGUGGUGGUUGUGGUUUAACACCCAAAUGCGGGUAGAGCAUCGCUCGACGUGGAGUUGCGUCAUACACCGGGUUCCGUGACCCAGAUUAACGGAAGAGGCUUAGAUAGUCCUCGUGCCAAACCAAGGUAGAAGUCACAACCAAACAGUCGUGUCUUUAAUUGGUACCUGCGGAAUUGUUCCAAGGGGGCGGUGAUUGACGCUUGAAUUAAUCCUAUACUAGGAACCGUGAGAUUAAGCCAUCGCGGCAGUGCUCACGUUAAGCCCACUGACUUUCAUGUCCAAUGAGUGAGUUUGCUAGAGCUGCAUUUUCCAGGCGACGUUUGCAAUUGCAGGAAGGAAUUGUAUGAAUGAUGAUGGAUGGUAGAUGUGAGAAUGUGGGGGUACGAAUGUGGGGUGUUUCUGAAUGGUAAUUUUUGUUUGAACAUUGUGUUGUGAUGGGGCUACCAACCCUUAACUGUUUUGGAGUUAAAUUGGAAGUGCCCUUCUGGUACGAGGCCUGACCGGAGGCUUUUAAUCUGGUACCACGGGUAACCAGGAGCCCACGGAACUUGUUCCGUCCUGGUUAGUUGGUGCGGCCCUUCGGGGAGUAUCGUGGUGGUUGUGGUUUAAACACCCAAAUGCGGGUAGAGCAUCGCUCGACGUGGAGUUUGCGUCAUACAACCGGGUUCCGUGACCCAGAUUACGGAAGAGGCUUAGAUAGUCCUCGUGCCAAACCAAGGUAGAAGUCACAACCAAACAGUCGUGUCUUUAAUUGGUACCUGCGGAAUUGUUCCAAGGGGGCGGUGAUUGACGCUUGAAUUAAUCCUAUACUAGGAACCGUGAGAUUAAGCCAUCGCGGCAGGUGCUCACGUUAAGCCCACUGACUUUCAUGUCCCUAUCUACUAUCUAGCGAAACCACAGCCAAGGGAACGGGCUUGGAAUAAUUAGCGGGGAAAGAAGACCCUUUUGAGCUUGACUCUAAUCUGGCAGUGUAAGGAGACAUAAGAGGUGUAGAAUAAGUGGGAGAUAUUAGACUUCGGUUUGGUAUCGACAAUGAAAUACCACUACUCUUAUUGUUUCCUUACUUACUUGAUUAAAUGGAACGUGUAUCAUUUCCUAGCCAUUAUACGGAUAUAAUUAUUAUGUCUUAUGGUAUUGGGUUUUGAUGCAAGCUUCUUGAUCAAAGUAUCACGAGUUUGUUAUAUAAUCGCAAACAAAUUCUUUAAUGAGAGAAUGCAUUUAUGUAUUAUUGAUUUAAAAAUUUGGUAUAACUCCAAUUACUCAGGUAUGAUCCAAUUCAAGGACAUUGCCAGGUAGGGAGUUUGACUGGGGCGGUACAUCUCUCAAAUAAUAACGGAGGUGUCCCAAGGCCAGCUCAGUGCGGACAGAAACCACACAUAGAGCAAAAGGGCAAAUGCUGACUUGAUCUCGGUGUUCAGUACACACAGGGACAGCAAAAGCUCGGCCUAUCGAUCCUUUUGGUUUUAAAGAGUUUUUAACAAGAGGUGUCAGAAAAGUUACCAUAGGGAUAACUGGCUUGUGGCGGCCAAGCGUUCAUAGCGACGUCGCUUUUUGAUCCUUCGAUGUCGGCUCUUCCUAUCAUUGUGAAGCAAAAUUCACCAAGCGUUGGAUUGUUCACCCAUGCAAGGGAACGUGAGCUGGGUUUAGACCGUCGUGAGACAGGUUAGUUUUACCCUACUAAUGACAAAACGUUGUUGCGACAGCAUUCCUGCGUAGUACGAGAGGAACCGCAGGUACGGACCAAUGGCACAAUACUUGUUCGAGCGAACAGUGGUAUGACGCUACGUCCGUUGGAUUAUGCCUGAACGCCUCUAAGGUCGUAUCCGUGCUGGACUGCAAUGAUAAAUAAGGGGCAAUUUGCAUUGUAUGGCUUCUAAACCAUUAAAAGUUUUUAAUUUGUUUUAUUAACGACAAUGGAUGUGAUGCCAAUGUUAUUUAUAACAUAGUAAAUUGGGAGGAUCUUCGAUCACCUGAUGCCGCGCUAGUUAUAUUUUAAAACAUUAUUU
rnacentral:rRNA from 1 species